GCCCUGAAAGGAAGGGGAGGGGGAUUUCGCUGAGCUCUUUCCCCCCACUAACCUCUGGUCCAGGCUUUAUAGCAGAAAGAUUCCUUCCCAGGACAGGAGAGUUCACUUGUCUUGACAUCCUCCUCAAGCCAAAGGUGGCCCCGGCUCUUUAAAACUUGGCAUCGGUAGGAGGGUCUCCUGAAAGAAGAAGCGCGAGACCUUGGAUAUGAAGGCGGGGAGAGGCCGCAAAGGCCAUCCAGCCCAACCCCCUUUAAAGUAGGAAGAGGCCACCAAAGCAUCUCCGCAGAUUAUUUAUUGAUGGUGUCAGAAACGAACUGAGAACACAGCUAUAAUGUAUAAUAAAGCACAAGAGAAAAAGAAUGUGCUGAGAUCUGUGUUAACAUGUCAACAACCUAGCUCAAUUCUCAUUCCUACAUCGACAGAAUAGAAUCACCUUACAUUGCCAGCAAAGAGUUUUCUCAGCAGCAUUAGCAUUAGGAAGAUAGUGAUGGAGAACUGGAGGAACACAGAGUCUCGGUGCACCAAUCACAAACUGUAAAUGAAUGUACUUUUGAACUAAUGGGAUUGUGGAGCCUAAUUUGCACCAACCACAAACGCUUCGAACUGUCAAACUGUGCCCCAGGCAGAGGGCGCAUCCUGGACAAGAACUACCUGGCCAUUGUCCACGGACAACCAACAUUGCAUCCCAUCUGAGACUGCCUCAGUUGCAAGCCAGCUAUCACCAGGCAAAGAUCAAAACAAAGGCGCUGAUCGCCCAAGAUACCCCAAUAGAUAUUUUUGGACUUUUCCUUUAUUUCAGAAUGCCUAAGAGUGGAACUGGAGAUCACCACCUUUUGUCCACCACCUUUUGUCUUUUGUGCAGGAGGCUGUACAAGAUUUACCAUCAAGUCAAGCCUACCAUUUUGAAUUCACCAUUGUUAGUUUUGUCCAAGCCGUCCACAAUGUUUUUUGAAGUCCGUUAUGAAGAGUAAGAAGAUGUGUCAUCUUGUUGUUUUUAUGUGGUGGUUUUGUUAUUUUAUAACCUGGG
rnacentral:lncRNA from 1 species